CUGGAAUGCAGUAAGAAUGAGAGUCUCCAACUUCGCAGACACUUGGACAAUCUACAGACACGCCUGAAACAGUCACUAAAGGAGUGUCUGGAGUGGGUGAGAACCAGGCAGAGUAUGGUGUCGUUAAUGUACUCUGUGUGGGUAAUGUACUCGGCAGUAGGUAGAGUAUAGGGCUGGUAAUGUACUCGGCCGUAGGUAGAGUAUAGGGUGGGUAAUGUACUCGGCAGUGGGUAGAGUAUUUGGUGGGUAAUGCACUCGGCCGUAGGUAGGC